CGCACGUUUCCUUAAAAAAAAAAAAAAAAAUUAAAAGAAAAAGAAAGAAAGAAAGAAAAAAGUUUUAUACAGUUUUGCCUCCAUUCCUCCUCCCCUUUUUAAAGAAAAUGUACUGCGUAGACUCGCUCCUCUCCUUCCCAUCCCCCUCCAUAACCUCAAGCAAACUCGAGGAAUUGUGCCAAAAGUCCCGUUGCUAGUUACCGAGUGCGUUUUUUUUAAACGUCCCUUUGAUACUUCUUCCCCUUGUGCUUGCCAUGGAAUAUGCAAGUACGAUAAUCUUUCCAUUACUUAGGAAAAGUAAUUAAAAAUGAAAAGAGCUUCUAGCAAGCCUUCCUUUUUCUACUUUUUUUUUUCUCUGAAGGGGCAGAAGAAGGGAGGCGAGAGAGAGAAGAAUAUUUUUUCUCUUUGCAGAGUCCAACAUUUGGCUUUUUCCAUUUGUGGCAGAUCACUGUAACGCUAUUGUAAAACAACUUCCUGCCCCUUUUGGCUCCGGUUCCAGAAGCUGCUAGGCUAAGUUCAUAGCGCAAACUUUUUUCCCCCUUGCCGAAGAAGAAAGGCAAAAAAAAUAUUCCUGCACAUUAUUUUCCUCCUUCUCCGGCUAAUGGACUCACAAGGUGAAUUCAUUGCAGCUCUGUAAGAAUGUCACACAAGAGACAGCGCUAUCCCAGCUGGAUAAUUCAUGAGCUGAAAGAUGCUGGGUCUGAUGAAAAUGCCCACCGAGGACUGCUAAACCCUCCCUGCUAGGAAUGAGAUGGAGCAGUCUGUGAUGCGAGCCAAAAGGGAGAAAAGAAGGCCUCUACAACUUGCUCUCUCACGAUCUCCCUCUCCCUCUGUUUCUCUCAUAGCAACAGCAUUUCUUGGUACGCCUGCUUUGGCAUACAUCAGCAUUUCUACCCGUCCAAGUGUCCUUUUGCGUCACAUCUCGCCAUUUCGCUCAACCAAUGAGAUCUCCUGCUUGCAGUAAAAAUAUAUAUACUUUUUCUGUUAUUGGUAUAUUCGAAUUUUUUUAAGUGCUUUCCUAAUAAAAAGCGUUGUCGAGCA